rnacentral:rRNA from 1 species
AUUGAACGCUGGCGGCAGGCCUAACACAUGCAAGUCGAACGAGUGGCGGACGGGUGAGCAAUGACUGGGACACUGCCUGGUGGAGGGGGAUCACUACUGGAAACGGUAGCUAAUAACGAAUACAAUCGGCUGUGUCCAGGUGGGAUUAGCUAGUAGGUGGGGUAAAGGCUUACCUAGGCGACGAUCCCUAGCUGGUCUGAGAGGAUGACCAGCCACACUGGAACUGAGACACGGCCCAGACUCCUACGGGAGGCAGCAGUGGGGAAUAUUGCACAAUGGGCGAAAGCCUGAUGCAGCAAUGCCGCGUGAAUGAAGAAGGCCUUCGGGUUGUAAAGUACUUUCGGCGGGGAGACGUUACCCACAGAGGAAGCACCGGCUAACUCCGUGCCAGCAGCCGCGGUAAUAC